GAGAUAUUAGUAAAAUCAUUACGUAACUUUGUCAAAGUUAAAUUAUAGACAUCAGUCUGUAUAUCUCA
rnacentral:tRNA from 1 species